AGCAGUAGCCACGGGAAUACGAAGGGUGCAAGCGUUACUCGGAAUUACUGGGCGUAAAGCGUGCGCAGGUGGUGGUUUAAGUCCGUUGUGAAAGCCCUGGGCUCAACCUGGGAAUUGCAGUGGAUACUGGGUCACUAGAGUGUGGUAGAGGAUAGUGGAAUUUCCGGUGUAGCAGUGAAAUGCGUAGAUAUGCGGAGGAACACCGAUGGCGAAGGCAAUCCCCUGGGCCUGUACUGACGCUCAUGCACGAAAGCGUGGGGAGCAAACAGGAUUAGAUACCCCCGUAGUCCCUGUCUCUUAUAC
rnacentral:rRNA from 1 species